rnacentral:miRNA from 1 species
UCAGUCUCCCUCUCUCUGCAG